rnacentral:rRNA from 1 species
GUCGUGUUCACACGACGAUACCGCGGACGGCUCAUUAAAUCAGUCGUGGUCUAAAUGGGUCCGUCCUCACGGUAUACUUGGAUAACCGUGGUAAUUCCAGAGCUAAUACAUGCAACUCAUAUCCCGAGGUGCGCAAGCACCGACGGAAGCACUUAUUAGACCAAUGCCCUCGGCACCGCGCACCUUGCGUGCGCGCGUCGCCACUCGCAUAAAUGGUGACUCUGGAUAAUUACCUGGACGAGCGCACGUAUCUGUUCAAGCAGAACGGCGCCGCCUCUUUCGAGUGUCUGCCUUAUCAGCCAUCAAUCGCUCGUUAUGUGCGAACGAUGGCCUUGACGGGUAACGGGGAAUCAGUGUUCGAUUCCGGAGAGGCAGCCUGAGAAACGGCUACCACGUCUAAGGACGGCAGCAGGCACGCAAAUUACCCAAUCCCAGAACUCUGGGGAGGUAGUGACGAAAAAUAACGAUGUGGGCGCUCCUUCUGGGGCCCCACAAUCGGAAUGAGUAUGUCUUAAAUAACCUGUCGAGAACCCACUGAAGGGCAAGUCUGGUGCCAGCAGCCGCGGUAAUUCCAGCUUCAGUAGCAUCUAUUAAAGUUGCUGCGGUUAAAAGGCUCGCAGUUGGAGCCACUGGUGUUUGGUAUAUGGAGCAGCUGGACGUUGGGUUCCUUCGUGUCCCCGUCCUGCUUGUCUGCUCCUGACUCUAUGGCACUGAAUAUGGAAAAACCUUCGCCGGUUUGAGCGUUUGCUCAGAGUGUUCGGGGGGGAUUCGUGGGGCCUGUGUUGCUUUCGGGCUCGCGGUGUCCCUGCGUUUCUCUUUUCCCGCCUCUGUGCUCUUACUUGGUGGGGGUGACUUCUGUGUCACCUUGAGUAAAUCAUGGUGCUCACAGCAGUCGUGCGGGCCUUGUGCCCUGUGAACAGUCUAUGCGGACUGAAUUGGUUUUGCAAGGCAUGACGAAACAUGACGUCGCUGCUGGUCGCGGGUGUGGGGCACGUCUGGUCUUCGCGGGCCGGGCGUUGCUCAGCGGUUUGCCAGUAGUGACGUAAUGAUCAAUGGAGACGGUAGCUGGCAUUGGUAUUGCGCGGCGAGAGGUGAAAUUCUGCGACCCCCGCAAGACCUCCUAAAGCGAAGGCGUCUGCCAAGGACG